GGGCGGUUAGCUCAGUUGGUUAGAGCGCCACGUUGACAUCGUGGAGGUCGGAGAUUCGAAUUCUCUACCGCCCA
rnacentral:tRNA from 2 species